GAUGAACGCUAGCGGCAGGCUUAACACAUGCAAGUCGAGGGGUAGAAGGAGCUUGCUCCUUUGAGACCGGCGCACGGGUGCGUAACGCGUAUGCAAUCUACCUUUUGCAGAGGGAUAGCCCAGAGAAAUUUGGAUUAAUACCUCAUAGUAUGUGAGGAUGGCAUCAUUUUCACAUUAAAGUCACAACGGCAAAAGAUGAGCAUGCGUCCCAUUAGCUAGUUGGUAAGGUAACGGCUUACCAAGGCUACGAUGGGUAGGGUUCUGAGAGGGAGAUCCCCCACACUGGUACUGAGACACGGACCAGACUCCUACGGGAGGCAGCAGUGAGGAAUAUGGACAAUGGGCGCAAGCCUGAACCAGCCAUGCCGCGUGCAGGAUGACGGUCCUAUGGAUUGUAAACUGCUUUUGUACGAGAAGAAACAACAUUACGUGUAAUGUCUUGACGGUAUCGUAAGAAUAAGGGAUCGGACUAACUCCGUGCCAG
rnacentral:rRNA from 1 species